UGAGCCCGGCUCUGGCCGGGGAGGGCGGGGUAUAAAUAAUAAUAAUAAUAAUAAUAAUAAUAAUUUUUAUUUAUACCCCGCCCUCCCCAGCCAAGGCCAGGCUCA